rnacentral:rRNA from 1 species
UACGUAGGGGGCAAGCGUUGUCCGGAUUUAUUGGGCGUAAAGGGCGCGUAGGCGGGAUGGCAAGUCGGUCGUGAAAUCCUUCGGCUCAACCGAAGAACGUCGGCCGAUACUGCCGUUCUUGAGGGAUGCAGAGGAGAUUGGAAUUCCCGGUGUAGCGGUGAAAUGUGUAGAGAUCGGGAGGAACACCGGUGGCGAAGGCGGCGACCUGGGUAGAUACUGACGCUGAGGUGCGAAAGCGUGGGGAGCAAACAGG